GUGCGUACGGGGAGGUGGGGAGGGAAGAGAAGAAUUGAUGAGGAGGGGCAUGCAGGGAAGUCUGAAUAUUUUCCGUUUUAAUUUCUUUUACCCAUCUUUGUUUUUGUGAUGUUUGCCCGUUUCCUCCUCUCCUCCUCGUCGUCGUCGUCGUCGUUGUCGAUUGUUGUUGAUGUUUUUAAACGGUCGAUUGGUUUAUUUUUUAAGUUAUGGUUCCGUAGAGACGGUGUCGGGGGAUGCUCGGCGGAGAGCACCUCCCGACGAUGACGACUGUGAUGCAGAAGAGAGGGAAAAAAAACAACCCAGAAACGCAGGAUGAAAAUGGCACAAAACUCCCGAGCCCCAAGAUGAGUGACUGCUGGAUGGUGGUGGCGGGCAGGGGGGUGUGUGUAUGGUGUCAUCACUUCCAGAGCAUCACUACGAUUGAUCACCCCCCCCCUCACCCGUAGCCAACAGUGAGGUGGUGGUGAUCACUUUGUUGGUAACAGAGGAAGUGAUCAUCAUGCAGCCAACAGUGAGGUUGUGGUGAUCACCCUGUUGGUUAACAGGGAUUGAUCGUCCCCCGUAGCCAACGGAGUGAGGUUGUGGUGAUCACCCUGUUGGUUAACAGGGAUUGAUCGUCCCCCGUAGCCAACGGAGUGAGGUUGUGGUGAUCACCCUGUUGGUUAACAGGGAUUGAUUGUCCCCCGUAGCCAACGGAGUGAGGUUGUGGUGAUCACCCUGUUGGUUAACAGGGAUUGAUCGUCCCCCGUAGCCAACAGAGUGAGGUUGUGGUGAUCACCCUGUUGGUUAACAGGGAUUGAUCGUCCCCCGUAGCCAACGGAGUGAGGUUGUGGUGAUCACCCUGUUGGUUAACAGGGAUUGAUCGUCCCCCGUAGCCAACAGAGUGAGGUUGUGGUGAUCACCCUGUUGGUGAACAGGGAUUGAUCGUCCCCCGUAGCCAACGGAGUGAGGUUGUGGUGAUCACCCUGUUGGUUAACAGGGAUUGAUCGUCCCCCGUAAGCCAACAGAGUGAGGUUGUGGUGAUCACCCUGUUGGUUAACAGGGAUUGAUCGUCCCCCGUAAGCCAACAGAGUGAGGUUGUGAUGAUCACUUUGUUGGUUAACAGAGGAAGUGAUCAUCAUGCAGCCAACAGUAGGAGCUGGUGAUCACUCCUCUUGUGCAGGCACCUGUGCACACCCCAAGGCCGUGUGUAUGCCUACGCACGCGUUUCACGCGCACUGGUCACGCUGGGUGGGGCAAAGAGUGUGCAACUUCUUCCGAUAACACUUGGCCAACGUGAAAGAGUGGGCCCAAAAAAAAAAACACCUCUCACUAGAGCUCCCAA